AUGAACGCUGGCGGCGUGCCUAAUCCAUGCAAGUCGAGCGAACGGACGAGAAGCUUGCUUCUCUGAUGUUAGCGGCGGACGGGUGAGUAACACGUGGAUAACCUACCUAUAAGACUGGGAUAACUUCGGGAAACCGGAGCUAAUACCGGAUAAUAUUUUGAACCGCAUGGUUCAAAAGUGAAAGACGGUCUUGCUGUCACUUAUAGAUGGGUCCGCGCUGCAUUAGCUAGUUGGUAAGGUAACGGCUUACCAAGGCAACGAUGCAUAGCCGACCUGAGAGGGUGAUCGGCCACACUGGAACUGAGACACGGUCCAGACUCCUACGGGAGGCAGCAGUAGGGAAUCUUCCGCAAUGGGCGAAAGCCUGACGGAGCAACGCCGCGUGAGUGAUGAAGGUCUUCGGAUCGUAAAACUCUGUUAUUAGGGAAGAACAUAUGUGUAAGUAACUGUGCACAUCUUGACGGUACCUAAUCAGAAAGCCACGGCUAACUACGUG
rnacentral:rRNA from 1 species